rnacentral:rRNA from 1 species
UACGAAGGGGGCUAGCGUUGCUCGGAAUCACUGGGCGUAAAGGGUGCGUAGGCGGGUCUUUAAGUCAGGGGUGAAAUCCUGGAGCUCAACUCCAGAACUGCCUUUGAUACUGAAGAUCUUGAGUUCGGGAGAGGGAAGCGGAAUUCCGGGUGUAGCGGUGAAAUGCGUAGAUAUCCGGAGGAACACCGGUGGCGAAGGCGGCUCACUGGCUCAUAUCUGACGCUCAGGCGCGACAGCGUGGGGAUCAAACAGG